CAUAGCCCAAGAUCCUCCAGGCUUCACCUCUGAGUGCUGGGAGCAAGCAUCUAUGGCCAAGUCUACACCUCUAUGAGGCUGUUCCCUUGCCUUCUUGGGGAGCAGAGGGGGGAGGUAGUGUAACCCAUCUGCUACAUCAGUUCUACUGAAGAGCAAGGGCACUCCCUCAAAAUCCAGAGCUGCUCCUCAGUAAAGUAGCACGUCUACCUCAGAAGCUUGGGUGCUGUAAAGAAAAUGGGUUGACAACACUUGUGAGGCAGAGACAGGAGCUCGAACAAUGAGGUCCAGGCCAGCCAGGGUUGCACAUCUCGGUAGGUAGAUAGGUGGGUGGGUAGGUAGGUAGAUAGGUGGGUGGGUGGGUAGGUAGGUAGGUAGGUAGAUAGGUGGGUGGGUGGGUGGGUGGGUGGGUGGGUAGGAAAGUAGGUAGGUAGAUAGAUAGGUGGGUGGGUGGGUAGGAAAGUAGGUAGGUAGGUAGGUAGGUAGGUAGGUAGGUGGGUGGGUAGGAAAGUAGGUAGGUAGGUAGGUAGGUAGGUGGGUGGGUAGGUAGGUAGGUAAGUGGGUGGGUGAGUGGGUAGGUAGGUAGGUAGGAAGAUAGGUAGAUAGGUAGGUAGGUGGGUGGGUAGGUAGGUAGGUAAGUGGGUGGGUGAGUGGGUAGGUAGGUAGGUAGGAAGAUAGGUAGAUAGGUAGGUAGGUGGGUGGGUAGG
ensembl:lncRNA